UUGAACUCUCUGUCUCAUUUUUCACAAAAAAUCACUUGGACCAAUCGAUUGUGGUGGAAUUCGGUCGAUUGGUUGGACUCCCUGUAAUUGAUUUUUCUUAAAAGUUAAAGAGACCAAUCGAUUGUUAGCAGUGAAAAUUCAACCUUUCUUCACUAUUUAAGCUUAACCAAUUGAUUGUCUGACAAGGGAGCCCAUAACCAAUUGAUUAGUUCAUACAUUUCUUUAGAAAUUUUUACUUCUAAUAGGUUCUUUUCUCAAAUAACCAGUAUAAAACAUUUCAAUACUAAACAUAUAUUCCAUAUGAUUCUUCCCAUUCAUGAACUACAUAUUCACAAUGAUAAUAACGUCAACAUUCAACAAUAUGAAAAACCACAUCAAUCAUGAAAAUCUUGAGUGAUCCAUACUUUCAUGGAAAGAUAGAACACACAACAAAGUACAAUUAAUCCUAUGUCAUUAAUGCAAAACCUUAAUCUCUAUUGUAAGAAAGUUCUAACUAGAACCCACCUUAGAGGUGAAUAUGUUGAGAGAUGUUGAGAUGGGAUGAUGAAUCAAAGCUUUUUCUAUUUCCUUCUUCAAGUUACUUCUUCUUUUCUCAAGUUUUCAUUUCUUCUCCCCAAGCCUUUCCUUUCCUUUGCUUUCAUAUGUUUUCUUUUGUUCUUCUUACUGAUAUGUUGGGAAAGUAGAGAUAUAAAAAAGAGAUUGGAAUGAAACAUGUGGUUGAGAACUUGUGUUCAUAAAGGGAAAGAGAUAUUGAGUGGUGGAAAACACAAAUGAGAGAG
rnacentral:lncRNA from 1 species